rnacentral:rRNA from 1 species
AUUGAACGCUGGCGGCAGGCCUAACACAUGCAAGUCGAGCGGAUGAAGGGAGCUUGCUCCUGGAUUCAGCGGCGGACGGGUGAGUAAUGCCUAGGAAUCUGCCUGGUAGUGGGGGAUAACGUCCGGAAACGGGCGCUAAUACCGCAUACGUCCUGAGGGAGAAAGUGGGGGAUCUUCGGACCUCACGCUAUCAGAUGAGCCUAGGUCGGAUUAGCUAGUAGGUGGGGUAAAGGCCUACCAAGGCGACGAUCCGUAACUGGUCUGAGAGGAUGAUCAGUCACACUGGAACUGAGACACGGUCCAGACUCCUACGGGAGGCAGCAGUGGGGAAUAUUGGACAAUGGGCGAAAGCCUGAUCCAGCCAUGCCGCGUGUGUGAAGAAGGUCUUCGGAUUGUAAAGCACUUUAAGUUGGGAGGAAGGGCAGCAAGUUAAUACCUUGCUGUUUUGACGUUACCAACAGAAUAAGCACCGGCUAACUUCGUG